rnacentral:rRNA from 1 species
GACGAACGUUGGCGGCGUGCUUAAUACAUGCAAGUCAACUGAAGCAGUGGUAGCAAUAUCGCUGUGGAGGUGGCGCACGGGUGAGUAACACGUAGGUAAUCUGCCUUCAGGUCUGGCAUAACUCCGGGAAACCGGGGCUAAUAGCAGAGGAUGAACCGGCCCGACAUCGAGACGGUGGUAAAAGCAAUGGCGCCGGAAGAUGAGCCUGCGUCUGAUUAGCUAGUUGGCGGGGUAACGGCCCACCAAGGCAACGAUCAGUAGCUGGUCUGAGAGGAUGAUCAGCCACACUGGAACUGAGACACGGUCCAGACUCCUACGGGAGGCAGCAGUAAGGAAUAUUGCUCAAUGGGAGAAAUCCUGAAGCAGCAACGCCGCGUGAGGGACGAAGGGCUUUGGCUUGUAAACCUCUGUAGUGAGAGAAAAAAAUCCCAAUCUUUGGGACAUGAUGGUAUCUCAAAAGUAAGCCCCGGCUAACUACGUG